AACGAACGCUGGCGGCAGGCUUAACACAUGCAAGUCGAACGCCCCGCAAGGGGAGUGGCAGACGGGUGAGUAACGCGUGGGAACAUACCCUUUCCUGCGGAAUAGCUCUGGGAAACUGGAAUUAAUACCGCAUACGCCCUACGGGGGAAAGAUUUAUCGGGGAAGGAUUGGCCCGCGUUGGAUUAGCUAGUUGGUGGGGUAAAGGCCUACCAAGGCGACGAUCCAUAGCUGGUCUGAGAGGAUGAUCAGCCACAUUGGGACUGAGACACGGCCCAAACUCCUACGGGAGGCAGCAGUGGGGAAUAUUGGACAAUGGGCGCAAGCCUGAUCCAGCCAUGCCGCGUGAGUGAUGAAGGCCUUAGGGUUGUAAAGCUCUUUCACCGAUGAAGAUAAUGACGGUAGUCGGAGAAGAAGCCCCGGCUAACUUCGUGCCAGCCGCCGCAGUAAGAC
rnacentral:rRNA from 1 species